AAGCUUCUUGGAGUGGCAGUUGGAAGCGGUAGCGGGCAAAGGGGGGUGGCUGACCGCUUGGGAGUGAGAGCGGCCGGGAGGGUGUCCGCUGGGGUCGUGGUGUGGUGCACCGUCGGCGGGCAGGCGCAAUGCCGGCGUGAGGAGGACGGGGAGGGAGAGCGCUCCAUCUUCAAAGAGCAACAGAUGAAUAAUCCAUCAUUGUAGAUGAGCAACUUGAUGGCGGCCGCCGUGAUGAUGCCGAGCGGUUCCGCUCCUCUAAUGAUUGGGGGACGCACCG
rnacentral:lncRNA from 1 species